UACAGGGGGUGCAAACGUUGCUCGGAAUCAUUGGGCGUAAAGCGCACGUAGGCGGUUCGUUAUGUCGGAUGUGAAAGCCCUUGGCUUAACCGAGGAAGUGCAUCCGAAACUGGCGAGCUAGAGUACGAAAGAGGAUCGCGGAAUUCCCGGUGUAGAGGUGAAAUUCGUAGAUAUUGGGAAGAACACCGGUGGCGAAGGCGGCUCUCUGGACCGAUACUGACGCUGAGGCGCGAAAGCGUGGGGAGCAAACAGG
rnacentral:rRNA from 1 species